CCGGGUGUGUAAGCGCAGCGAUGCGUUGAGCUAACCGGUACUAAUGAACCGUGAGGCUUAACCUUACAACGCCGAAG
rnacentral:rRNA from 24 species